ensembl:lncRNA
AAUAAUACAUUCAACAAUUAACAAUCAUAUAUUUUUACAAGUAUCAUGAAAUGCACCAACGUACAGCAUUCAAAAAAAAAACAAAAAAAAAAAAAAAAAAAAAUGUUUAAUAUAUAAAAUAGACAUAUUAGCAAAAUUCUGAAUAAACUGUGGAAAUAUAUCAAUAAAAUUUUAGGUACAUUAAAAAUCAUAACAACAAAAAUGGUUGCACCAUACUAUCUGCAAUUGCUUUGUUUUGUUUUGUUUUUUUAUAUCUUUUUCUAAUUUUUAUUAUUUUUCUCAAAAAUAUUAUGCAUUUUAUUUAUGGUAAUUUUAUUUUAUUAUAUAUUUUUUUUUUUUUUUUCAAAUUUCUAUUUUUAAGAUUGUUCAGUUGUCAAAAUUUGUUUUUUUUUGGAAAAAAUGUGACUAUAAAAGCAAUUUGUUUUGAAAGACCAUUUUAGUUUUUACUUUUACCAUAACUUUUACUAUAAUUUUUAUUAUAUAUAUUUUGUUUUUAUUUAUUUUUUUGUUUUUAUCUAUUUUUUUGUUUUUANNNNNNNNNNNNNNNNNNNNNNNNNNNNNNNNNNNNNNNNNNNNNNNNNNNNNNNNNNNNNNNNNNNNNNNNNNNNNNNNNNNNNNNNNNNNNNNNNNNNUUUUGUUUUUAUUUAUUUUUUUGUUUUUAUCUAUUUUUUUGUUUUUAUCUAUUUUUUUGUUUUCAUUUUUGUUUUCAUUUUUGUUUUCAUUUUUGUUUUCGUUUUUUAUUUUAUAUCUUAACUUUUAUUAUUAUUAAAAAAUAAAGAAAUCGAAUAAAAAUAAUAAAAAAAAAAAAAAAAAAAAAAAAAAAACUAUACAAUUAAUGUUGCUACUCCUUCCCUCCGCAAUAAAUACAUUUUCACAUUUUUGUUUAUGAAAAAAAAAAAAAAAAAAAAAAAAGGUGUCUACAUAUCAAAACAUAGACACAUAUACAUACACAUAUAUACUCCCUAAAACAACAUAAUGCAUAAACUAAUUUUAUUUUUUGCUAUUUUAGUACUUAGCUUAUUCACACAAAUCGUUGGAUAUACAAAACAUGCAAAUAAAAGGAAAAGAAAAAAUGUAGCUUUAAAACAACAAACUAAUUUAAACAAUAAUUUGAAUGAUUAUAGCUUUUUGUUAACUAAGGAUAAUGACAAAGAAAAGGAAAGUGGUCAGGACAACAAUAAUUCCAAUGAAAAAAAAACAGAAAAUACAAAUAAAGAAAAUGACAAAAAAACAGAAGAUAAUAAUAGUAGUAACGAAAAAAAAGAAGAUAGUAAUAAUAGUAGUGAUAAAAAAGAAGAAGGUAAUAAUAGUAGUGAUAAAAAAGAAGAAGGUAAUAAUAGUAGUGAUAAAAAAGAAGAAAAUACACAAAACAGUAUGUCUCAAACUAUGCAAUCUGAUAAAAGAAUUAAUAGAACUAAUUUAACAGAUUACGGUACUUAUGAUAAAAAUGGAAAAUUCAUUCCUUCUUAUAAAACACUAACUGAUGAAAUUCUAGCAACAAAUAGCGCAAUGGAAAGGGCCUCAACAUUUAUGAAAGUUGCUUGCUCACAUAUCUUGAAAAUUUUAGAAUUUAUACCCGAAUCUAAAUUAAGUACUCAGUAUAUUAAAGUUGAAUCAAAAACUAUUUAUUUAAAAGAUAUUGUAGUUGAAUGUGAAAAUAUUUUUUUUAAUGUUGAAAAAUUAGUUAUGACUGUUAUUGUCCUUAAUUCAAAAGUUCAAAAAUAUGUAUAUGCUCAAAAUUAGUACUAAAACGUUUAUAUAACUGCAAUACAAGAACACUAUUAUAAGAAAAAAAAAAAAAAAAAAUUGAAACCUUACAAUAUUUAUUAAAAAAAAAAAUAUAAAAAAAAAAAAAUUUUAGAACUGAUGAAAUUUCUUACAUAAAUUGCAUUUGCUUCCGAAUUAUUAUAAGUAAAAUUACAAUUUUUUUGUAUUUUUUUUUAACCGACAAUUUUUUUUUCCUAAUUGACUUUUUUUUUUUUAAUGAAUUUUUCUUUUUUUUAAUUGAUUUUUUUUUUUUUAUUUUAUUUUUUUAUUGCAGCUAUGUUACAUGUGUGGAUAGUGGGUAUACACGAACAGACACAUUUAUUAUACUUAUGGUGAUAAUAUGGAGAGAAUUUAUAGUUUUUUUUUGUAUUAUUUGUUCGUUUUUUUUUGUAUUAUUUGUUUGUUUUUUUUUGUAUUAUUUGUUCGUUUUUUUUUGUAUUAUUUGUUCGUUUUUUUUUGUAUUAUUUGUUCGUUUUUUUUGUAUUACUCGUUCGUUUUUUUUGUAUUACUCUUUCGUUUUUUUUUUUUGUAUUACUUGUUCGUUUUUAUUUUUUUUGUGUCUAUUACUUGUCUGUCCGCUUUUUCUGUCAUUCUUUCAUUUUUUUUUUUUUUUUUUUUUUUAUUAAGCACCAUUAGCUUCUAUCUGUUGUUUUAUGUUUUUCUAUUAUACUUUUUGUUAAGAUUUAAAAAAAAUUGCUGUUUUUUAAUAUUAUUUGAUAUUCAUAAAAUUAUUAGCAAUUAACUCUGUAAUUUUAACAAAUUAUCUAAAAUAUAUUAAACAUUUAAAUAUUUUGUUUUUUUUUGUUUUUUUUUGUUUUUUUUCUGUUUAAUUGCCUAAUAAUUUAAAACGUGCAUUUAAAAACAUACAUGUACGUAAGGGUGGGUACAUAUAUUUUAUAGACAUACUAUAUAUGUACCAUUAUUUUUAACUUUUUAUAUUAUAUAUAUAUUUUUUUUUUUUUUUUUUGCAAAAAAAUAAAAAUAAACCAAAUUAUAAGUUUCA